UCCAAUGAGUGUACACUAAAGAGCUUCCAUC
rnacentral:piRNA from 1 species